CUGCAAGGAGCUUCUGCUAAAACCGCCACGUCCUGUGGCAACGCAGAAGUCAGCACGUCCUGUGAG
rfam:Bacillus sp. MTM 13 99, whole genome shotgun sequence.